rnacentral:misc_RNA from 1 species
UACGGAGGGUGCGAGCGUUAAUCGGAAUUACUGGGCGUAAAGCGCACGUAGGCGGUUUGUUAAGCAGGAUGUGAAAUCCCCGGGCUCAACCUGGGAACUGCAUCCUGAACUGGCAGGCUAGAGUGCAGUAGAGGGUAGUGGAAUUCCUGGUGUAGCAGUGAAAUGCGUAGAUAUCAGGAGGAACACCGGUGGCGAAGGCGGCUACCUGGACUGACACUGACGCUGAGGUGCGAAAGCGUGGGGAGCAAACAGG